ACGGGUGAGUAACGCGUGGGAACAUACCCUUUUCUACGGAAUAGCUCUGGGAAACUGGAAUUAAUACCGUAUACGCCCUACGGGGGAAAGAUUUAUCGGGGAAGGAUUGGCCCGCGUUGGAUUAACUAGUUGGUGGGGUAAAGGCCUACCAAGGCGACGAUCCAUAGCUGGUCUGAGAGGAUGAUCAGCCACAUUGGGACUGAGACACGGCCCAAACUCCUACGGGAGGCAGCAGUGGGGAAUAUUGGACAAUGGGCGCAAGCCUGAUCCAGCCAUGCCGCGUGAGUGAUGAAGGCCUUAGGGUUGUAAAGCUCUUUCACCGAUGAAGAUAAUGACGGUAGUCGGAGAAGAAGCCCCGGCUAACUUCGUGCCAGCAGCCGCGGUAAUACGAAGGGGGCUAGCGUUGUUCGGAAUUACUGGGCGUAAAGCGCACGUAGGCGGAUAUUUAAGUCAGGGGUGAAAUCCCAGAGCUCAACUCUGGAACUGCCUUUGAUACUGGGUAUCUUGAGUAUGGAAGAGGUAAGUGGAAUUGCGAGUGUAGAGGUGAAAUUCGUAGA
rnacentral:rRNA from 1 species